GGGGCACAAGUCAGCCCUUAACAGUCAUCAAAAACUAGUUAAGCCUGAGAAACUGUCACAGCCAAGAAUAUACAGCCUAAGAAUAUACAACAACUAAAUGUAAUGUGAUAUCCUAGCUGGCAUCCUGGAACAGAAAAAGGACUUUAGGUAAAAUGUGAGGAAGUAGGAAUAAACUAUGGACCUUAGUUAAUAAUUUAUCAUUAUUGGUUCAUUAGUUGCAACAAAUGUACCAUACUAACAUCUAUUAAUAAGAAGAUAAACUGUGUGUGUAGUGGGGACGUCGUAUGUGCUCAACGUAAACAAAAACUGUUCUAAAACAUAAAGUCUAUUAGUAAGUUAAAAAAAAAAACUCUCAAGAACAUCUUUAAAGAACUGUUUUCUCUAUAAGCCCUUUGCCACUUUACAAAAAAAUUCCACAAGUAAAAUCUUUAGUAGUCUGGUUGCUGUUGUUUUCGCCCUGCUGCACUCAAAUGAGGAAUUCUAAGUUUAUUUUGUUUUACUUGGGGGCAGGGGGAAGUAAAAAGAUGUAAAAGAUUAAUGUUGAAUUAAAAUCUUAAGCUAGAAUGUUAAUUUAACAACCCACAAACAAAUUUGUCUAAUGCUCAAUUUGUUCAGAUGACGAUACUAUCCACCACAGGGUAAAAAACUGAAAUAUUGGAUACUACCUUUAGCGAAGCUUAACACAUAAUAUCCAUCAUUGGGUAAGAACACACGAAAAACACAAACUAAGGAACUGCGCCUGCGUAGUCAGAGCCUCAAAGGGUAUAAGCUCCAGGUCGCGAGCCCCCGCCUCCUCCGCCCCCAUGAACCCCCUUCCCACAAGGGGGUUCCCACUGCGCACGCGCAGUGUUUAACGGCCGGUCAGGAACCCAACAAUUAGUCCCUUCUCGUCCGAGAGGAAACUCUGUGAGAAGAUGGGACCGUGAGCACUCUCUUUAACAAGGACAUUUCCUUUUCAGCGAAAGCAGCGCUCUGAUUUACCAAGUCUGGCGGACCGCAGCGCUUUAAAGGAAUGAGGUUCCAGCGGUCGCGCCAAGCAGCGUACGCAGCCUAUUUUAAGUUAUGCUACCUUCGCCACAGAAACCAAGAACGUUGUAAUGGUCCGGCAAGUGCCCACGUAUAAUUGUUCUCCAUCACUUACCCACUCUAGUUCGGGAACACCCUUGUCGCCGCCGUUCCGGUAACACCUCUCCAACGCUUUCGAUGCUUCUACUUCUUCGGGAACAAGACAAGAUGGCGCCCGAUUUGUCUCACCCGGAAGUAAAGAAUAAUAACAUCCGUUUGUCAUCUGAAGCCAUACCAUCUCUCAUCCAGGUUUGUGAACACGUGAUUGUGCGGAUUGACAUGUUUCGGCGCCAUUUUUUUUGUGGGCAAAACCAUCUCUACUCUGGUCAACACCGGGCAACUGAACCAUUCCUGCACGUUACUUUUUAACGUAGCUGGCGCCAUUCCCGACCCAUCUUUAUAGUGGCCAGAAAGCCAAGAACGUAAGUGUUCUACACAUAGGGCGCCUUCAAAUUUUUUACUUUAGCAACGUGAUCUUCCUUUAAGGGGAAGUAUGUUCCCUCCUAGAAACACUCCCGCCUUGGAGAAGGGGUUGAGUUCGCAACUCCACUUACAGACUACGGAGGAACCCCAGGGUCAAACCAAACCAAACCAAUUCUGGCCAGUUGCUUAGCGCAGUUCAAGUUACUUAGUGCGCUGGAAGCGGCAUUUCAGGCAAUCCAACUUCUGGCUCGAACCUUCUCGGAGUAUUCCAAGGAUGGAAUACUCUCACUUGAGCGCUGCCGAGGGUGCCGCUUGAGGAAAACGUGAGUUUGUGAAGAAUGUUUGUUGCAGAUACAGUUCCACCACUGUACAUUAAGUAUGUGGAAAACAGAAGAUAUCCUUUUGGUUCCUGGGUCUCCAGAACAGUAGGAGCAAACAUCCAAAUCUGAUAUAGCACUUCCAGAGAGCCUGGUCUUGGAGGAUAAAACUUUACCUUGAUGGGACUUUUGGCCCCGGUCCCUUAAGAGUUGGGAUUUGGGGUUGUACUGCAGCACAACUCAGCCUAUCCUAAUACAUAUGGGAAUGCAAACAUCUCAGAUAUUUCUUCUUGGGUGCAAUUUAAAAUACGUAUGAAAUGGCUUCAGAAGUGUCCAUGAACCUUCAAAAUUACAUACAAGAAUUAGGGAGAUACAUUUUUCUGGGAACAUACAGAUGUUAAGACUUCCCUUCUCCGUCUCUAUAUUGCCAGAAGAGAGGGCCCCAGAAUUAAAACCCCAUCCUUCCUACAACACUCAGCUUUCUCUUUCAGGAAUAUCAGUACUAAUAUCACCAUGCCUUUUAUCUCUAGGAUAUCUUCAUCCCCUGUACCUUAAUUUCUGCAUGACUUCAUAGGGAGUCCAUAUUGCUUGAUUUUUCUCCAUAUCAUUACCAUUGACAUAAAUUUUCCUUACAUUCUUAGAAUGUGUAUUUCCUCACCUUUUAGAUUUCUGGCUCUUAUGUUGACUGCUGUAUCCCUAGUACCUACCACACAACAGGUAUUCAACAAAUACUUUUUUUUUUUUGAGACAGUCUCUGUCACCCAGGCUGGAGUGCAGUGGUACUAUCUUGGCUCAGUGCAACCUCUGCCUCCCGGGUUCAAGCGAUUCUCCUGCCUCAGCCUCCCAAGUAGCAGGGAUUACAGGCCUGUGCCACCAUGCCCAGCUAAUUUUUGUAUUUUUAGUAGAGAUGGGUUUUUGUCAUGUUGGCCAGGCUGGUCUCGAACUCCUGGUCUCAGGUGAUUUGCCCACUUUGGCCACCCAAAGUGCUGGGAUUACAGGCAUGAGCCACUGUGCCUGGCCUAAAAAAUACUUACUAAAUGACUAAACAAAUAAAAGAUAGUCUCUAACUUUCAUCAUAAUCUCAAAGAGCUUCAUGAUCUGGAAGAAGUUUAGACACAAAUGGGUAGGCAAAGUAUUUCUUAAUUGCUGGUGCAAGACCUUACCCUUGUCUUAAUAAUUAUCCUGUCUAAGUAAUACACCUUUUAAGAAACCCCUGAAAGGAAGAUGAUCGUCCUUGGUAGAUACUGAAAUCUGAGGUAAAGUGGCCCAUAAACUGUUUUGAAAUAGAGAAUUUCUAAAAUAUGUAGGGUAUUUUGAAUAUAGCUGAGAAAGCUGCUAUGAACUGAAGGUUUACGUCCCCUACAACAUUCACAAAUCCCAAAUGUGAUGGUAUUUGGAGAUAGGGCCUUUGAGAAGUGAUUAGGUCAUGAGGAUGGAACCCUCAUGAAUGGGCUGCAUGGAAAAGGACCCACAGAGAUGCCUUGUACUUUUCCCAUGUGAGGACACAGCAAGAAAGCACUGUCUUUAUGAACAGAAGUGGGCCCUCACCAGACCCCAAGUCUGCUGGCACCUUGAUCUUGAAGUUCCCAGCUCCCAGAACUGUGAGAAAUAAAUUUUUGUUAAUACACCACAUAGUUGAUGGUAUUUUAUUAUAGCAGCCUGAGUGG
rnacentral:lncRNA from 1 species